AUAGAUAUUAUAUAAAUAUUAAUAAUACGUAUUUAUAAAUCAGACAAGUGAUAUUGUAUCAAAUACAUUUUAUUCAUUUUUAUAAAUAUGACAAUUAAAUACUUGUACGAUUGUUUUAUUAAUUGAUUAUUAGAUAUAUUUAUAAAGUAUGUGUAACAUCGAAUAAAUUAUAUGUUACUUUUGUUACACAUAUAAUACAUGUGUUUAGAGAUAUUAUAUUUAGACAAGAUUUAGACAAAAAUAAAAAAGAUGCAACGAGAAGAAAAACAAUUAGAUGCUACCUUAGAGGCUACUAUUAUGAGAGUCAAUGACUUGAAAACAUCUAUUGCAUCAAUGAUAUUUAAAUUAGAACACGAAUAUGAAACUUUAAAUUGGCCAAAUUUUCUCGAUAACUUCGCUCUUAUUUCUGGACAUUUGACCAGUUUAUCAAAGAUACUUAGCCACGACAAGGCUCCAAAUUUAAGAAAUCUUACAGUUUUGCCUUUGCGUUUAAAUCCUGAAAAGGAUGAAGAACUGCUUCGAUUAACCGAAGGCAGAAUUCCCACAUUUGCUCAUGAUUCGGUACCGGAUUAUUUAAGAACCAAAUUGGAACCUCAAGUAGAACAAAAAAUGAUGCAGCUAGAAGCAAAAGCAGCUAAUUUAAAUCAUGAAGCUUCGCACGAAUAUAAUAAACAAGUCACGCAAUAUACUAAAGUAAUUAGUCAUGUUUGGGAUAUAGCGAAUAAGGCACGAGAGGAAUGGGAAAGCGAAGCUGGUUCUAGAGCAACGCAAGCCCAAACAAGUAGUGCAGCGGAUACUCAUGCACUUGUUGCUGCGGUUGGAAUGGGAAAAGGAUUGAAAUCAGAUUCAGUUCCAAUGGUCCAGUCAAAUGUUAAUCCUGUACCAAGUGGUAUGAUGGUAGGCAGACCUGCAAACCAACAACAGUCUGGAGGACAAGGACCACUUGGAAAUACGCAAAUGGGACAAAUGAAUAAAGCUCCUAGUGCAAUCAAAACAAAUAUCAAAGCUGCAUCACAAAUUCAUCCUUAUGGAAGAUAGAAAAUAUUAAUAUUUUCAAUUAGAACAUGCAACAUUAUUGCUGAAAAAAGCAUUAGAUCGUGGAGAUAAUAUAUUAUUCAUAACAGGAAUAAUAAUAGCAUUUAAGCCUUGUUCUCGUAACCAACACAAUCGAUCUUGUAAGACAAAUGAUUCUGCUGGUGCUUGUAAAAUUAAUUGUAAACCAGUAUAAACUUCAACUUGUCGUAAUCUUUGACAAUGAUGUUUCCAUAA
rnacentral:misc_RNA from 1 species